GGAUGUGAGGGCGAUCUGGCUGUGACAUCUGUCAUCCCAUUGAUUGCCAGGGUUGAUUCAGCUGAUCUGGCUGGCUAGGCGGGUGUCUUCUUCCUCCCUCACCGCUCCAUGUGGGUCCGUCCCGAAGCUGUGCGCUCGGUCGAAGAGGACGACCAUCCCCGAUAGAGGAGGACCGUCUUCGGUCACGGGUAUACGAGUAGCUGCGCUCCCCUGCUAGAACCUCCAAACAAGCUCUCAAGAAAAACAAAAGCAAAAGCAAAAAACAAACAAAAAAAAACGACUCAGGAGGCUGAGGCAGGAGAAUUGCCUGAACCC
rnacentral:snRNA from 1 species